CCUACGGGAGGCAGCAGUGAGGAAUAUUGGUCAAUGGACGGAAGUCUGAACCAGCCAUGCCGCGUGCAGGAAGACGGCUCUAUGAGUUGUAAACUGCUUUUGUACAAGGGUAAACCUGAAUACGUGUAUUCAGCUGAAAGUACUGUACGAAUAAGGAUCGGCUAACUCCGUGCCAGCAGCCGCGGUAAUACGGAGGAUGCGAGCGUUAUCCGGAUUUAUUGUGUUUAAAGGGUACGUAGGCGGGCUUUUAAUGCCGCGGUAAAAAUUCGGGGCUAAACCCCGUCAGGCCGUUGAAACUGGGGGCCUUGAGUGGGCGAGAAGUAGGCGGAAGGCGGGGUGGAGCGGUGAAAUGCAUAGAUAUCACGCAGAACCCCGAUUGCGAAGGCAGCCUUCCGGCGCCCUACUGACGCUGAGGCACGAAAGUGCGGGGAUCGAACAGGAUUAGAUACCCCAGUAGUC
rnacentral:rRNA from 1 species